UUCACAUAUUUUACUACUGAUAUUCUCUGCAGUAUGCCUGUUCUCUCCUGUUUCAAUGCUUCUGUAAAAAAAUGAUUGAGAUGUUAUCACAAAGUUUAUGAUUCCUUCUCCCCGCACAUUUGUCCAUCCAUCUGUAAGUACUCCAAGACACAGUGCUUCGUUGAUUUUUCCUUGCACAGAUUGCAUUACACAUUCAUAUUAUGACUUUAAAAGAGGCUUGCUCAAAGAAUGUGUGCUGGGCAAACAGUAUGAUGGUCCUAGUAAUUUAAAAGCUUCCUGCCAGCAUGCAUUUUCAGUUACUGACAAUGGCACCUUAGAAGAAUAUGUUGCUCUUGCAAGAGUUUGGUCAACUUUUUCCUGAUCUUCAGGUAUCAUCUUGUCUACAAAUGAAGCUAUUGAGAGUCUUUUGUAUACAGUUAGGGGUGCACAGGUAGAG